UACGUAGGGUGCAAGCGUUGUCCGGAAUUAUUGGGCGUAAAGAGCUCGUAGGCGGUCUGUCGCGUCGGCUGUGAAAUCCCGGGGCUCAACCCCGGGCCUGCAGUCGAUACGGGCAGACUAGAGUGCGGUAGGGGAGACUGGAAUUCCUGGUGUAGCGGUGAAAUGCGCAGAUAUCGGGAAGAACACCCGUGGCGAAGGCGGCUCUCUGGGACGGUACUGACGCUGAGACGCGAAAGCGUGGGGAGCGAACAGG
rnacentral:rRNA from 1 species